rnacentral:lncRNA from 1 species
UCAGCAGCGCGCCUUGGCGCGAGCAGCGCGCCUUGGCGCGAGCAGCGCGCCUUGGCGCAAGGGUGCCGGUUUCAACAAUAUGCCCAUGCAUGUAAUGGUGAAGUUAGUAGAAAGUCAGGCUUAUCAUAUGUAUUCAAUCAGGAUAAAAAAAUAAAAAAGAAAUAUUCAAGUGUAAUCGGAGCAAGACAUCAUCAAUAGAUACCAAAACUACAGAUUCAAGUGUAAUCGGAGCAAGACAUCAUCAAUGGAUACCAAAACUACAGUACAACACAUCUCCAUAGCCACCAGAAUGAUAGUACAACACAUUUGAAGAAUGGAAUGUUCAUAUACAGGGUAAAUUAAAGGAUGCAAUGUUCAUACACCGGUAAUGGGCAUGCGCGGUGGACAGGUCCGGUCGUCUUGAACAGCAGUGUCAGAGAGAAUGAUGACUCUCAUUGUGUUCUCAUUGAGCCCGAGUCUCAGAUGGCCUUGUGAAGCCCAAGAUGCUCUACCAGGAGAUCAAGCAUCAUUCUAACUGGGAUCCUUACAAUGCUUGUCUCGGCCUGUGUCAUAGGAAAUUUCAGAAUGGUUAUAUAAUUUUUCAGAGUACUAAAGUUGACAGCAGUUGGUUUUAUACCAUGAAAACAAAGGUCUGGGUAACUAAAGGACAACAAUCUUUGUUGUGCAAGAGUUUUAUUAGAUUCUUACUGUCCUGUUCGACAAUUGAGACAUAGUAAUUGAAAAAAAAUCAAAAUGGUACCAUGAAUCAUAAGAUAAACCAGCAGAAAAUCUAAAGCCUAAUCAUCGGACAAAGUCACACACACGAGCAGAUCGCUUC